rnacentral:rRNA from 1 species
UGGGGAAUCUUGGACAAUGGGCGCAAGCCUGAUCCAGCCAUGCCGCGUGAGUGAAGAAGGCCUUCGGGUUGUAAAGCUCUUUUUACCAGGGACGAUAAUGACGGUACCUGGAGAAUAAGCCCCGGCAAACUUCGUGCCAGCAGCCGCGGUAAUACGAAGGGGGCUAGCGUUGUUCGGAAUUACUGGGCGUAAAGCGCACGUAGGCGGAUUGUUAAGUCAGAGGUGAAAUCCCGGAGCUCAACUUCGGAACUGCCUUUGGUACUGGCAAUCUCGAGUCCGGAAGAGGUUAGUGGAAUUCCCAGUGUAGAGGUGAAAUUCGUAGAUAUUGGGAAGAACACCAGUGGCGAAGGCGGCUAACUGGUCCGGUACUGACGCUGAGGUGCGAAAGCGUGGGGAGCAAACAGGAUUAGAUACCCCCGUAGUCCCUGAGCGGGCUGGCAAGGCGCAU